UUGAUAAAGGAGCAGUAGCGCAUGUCAGUAGUUGCUUAUUGCCUUCCUCCUACGCCAGGCAGUGGGUCAGUCUGACUGUCAUAACCCCAUUCAGCUCUGACCUUCUGUUUCUGUAGGCCUUUGAUAAACCUCCAACAAUUAACACCACACAACUGCAACACUUCACCACUGAGGCAGGCCAGCAGUGCAGCAGGUUGCCCAGAGAGGUUGUGCAGUCUCCAUCCCUGGAAAUUUUCAAAGCCCGACUGGGUAAGGCCCCGAGCAACCAACUCGGACCCCACAGCUGUCCCUGCUCUGAGCAGCAGGUCAUAUUUUUGGAACUGCUUCUUAUGCUGGCAUGAUUCCCAAAGGACAGAGGAGUGAACAUCCUACUCUGAAGGAGGCCAACCCCUAUUUAUCUCUUAGGAUGUUCUGCUGAGGCACAGGAAAACAGGUGUACCUCGCAGGAGGACCUCUGCUCCGGCUGCUGGGAUUCGCACAAGGCUCUCCUUGAUGAGGACUGGUGUGUGGCUGGAAGUGGUACAAAAUUUCUUCCAAGGUAAAUUCAAAGAUACUAACUGCACUUAUGGAGCAAGUUACAUUCACAUGUGCACCACCAUGUUUCGAAUACGGUUUAAACAAAAAUCUUAUGUGAACAGAAAGAAAAGUUUGUAUGUUAACAUGUUCUAAUGCUCCAAAGUUUGAUUCUUAAACUGAUCGGCAGCUUCUUGGGUUUUGCUCUUUGCAUACAGGAUUUUCCACGUACCCCAGUAAAUGUAAAUAAUAAAACUUAUCAUGGCUGAAAAAACUGCUCCACAGCUGCUAGCCAUAAAUGCCUGUGUGUACACACAGUCACACAAACCACCAGAGUGAAAUAAUGGUGCCUGUUAAUUCGUUAAAUAUAGCAUUACAUAUUUGAGGGGCCAGGUAGAAUCCGGACCAAGAAUGCAGAUGAUGUGAAGAAGGAAUUUACACAUUUCAAUGCCUUUUUUUGUCCUGAGAGCUGGAGUUUGCCCAGGAUGUGAAUCCCCAGGGACUUGUUGGGCUUUGAGUUUGCUGAGGAUUUGCGAGCAAAAAUCAAUGUAGCGUCUGUGCUCUCAAAGAUACGUUUCAUGUUUGUUAAGAAAUGUGCUUGCCGGAGGCUCCAUCCCAACAGCCGGUGAAGAUAAUGAUUAUGGGUUUGGGUUGGGUUUUUUGGGGUUUGGUUUGGGUUUGGGCUUGUUGGUUUUUGUUUUUUUUUUUUGAAAGCAUGGAAAAAAUUAAAGAUCUGCUUAAAGAGGUCUUUAUCGACCCCGCAAGAUGAGUUUCCAGCCUGCACCCCCCCUGGCGUGCCCC